AGGCCUCAAUGCGGGGGAAGAGAAGAAGAAAAAGAACAGGCUGGAGGUCCUGUGCAGAGUAUCUCACAUGUGCUCCCUGGGCUGGGAUUUGGCCUCUUCCAGUUUCUUCCCCAUUUUCUUCUUCUGGCUAACGAACCCUAAAGCAGCAGUUCUCCUUCAUAUUCACCUUCAGUCCUCCUGGGAUUGGCCGCAGGUUAAUGGACACCAAAGGAAGACUUCAGCAGCCUGUAAUCUGUCUCAGGACAAUUAAUAUCAUGUUCAUAACAAUCAUGUUCUUAAGAUCACUGGCUCUCACUUUUCUACUACCACUUUCGAAAAAAGAGCUCUAUUGGAUGUACCUAAAGGUGGUUUCUAUCAUUAUCGAAACUUCUGGCACCACUUCCCAUCAAUGCAAGUAGUUAUUAAAAGCUUCUGACAUCACUGUUUCAUGGAGAUUAUAUUGGAAAAUAAACUAGGUUUUACUGCUUUCUGGAGAGCUCUUCACAUGAGGAUUAACUCAUCAGCCCUUUGGGACUAUAGUGGGGAAUGGAUGAAAUGAGUCCAAAUGAUAAGUAUGACAAUCACACACAAUGUGAUGCUGUAAACGUUAUCAAUAUGCUUUUCCUUUUGUCUUUCUGAGUAUGAGAACUCCACCCUCAUUUACCCAAAAUGUCCAUGUGGAGGGCAUGCUCUAUCUGGAUUAAAUGAAUGUAAAGAGAAGAUACGAUUUGGGGCAAAUGGAAGAAAUGUCCAUCCCUUUUCAGGCCUAGGGAAUUUGUGGGAAGGAGAAGGGGAGAGAAAAAUAGAAGUUUGUCAGAUAGGUAUUUUCUGAUCUCUUCUCUGUGGCAAAAAGAAGAGAACAUUCCAGAGAGGUGAAGGAAACACUGAAAGCAAAGAAGAGCUCUUCUCUGUCCACAUUAAGACUCCUAGAAAGAUGUCACCUCUGAAGAAACACCUCCCAGUCACCAAGAUGGGCAGUGGCCACAGCAACUUGGCAAUGCUAAAUGGUCACGUGGAGGAAGUCCCCAAAGGUUAACUUUCUGGUGUCACCCUGGGUUUCAGAACAACUGAGAAUUGGGCUUGGCAACUGAGAAUCUGGCUUGGGAGCUUGUCGUAGUGGUUUGACCAGAUGACUUCUUACCAAGGGUUACUGAACAGACUGCAGGGCUGAAGGUCAGCUGAGUUAGACCCUGCAAGGUGUAUACAGAAGCAGAAGCCAGCGUGAGCCUCAUUUGCCAGAGAGCGUUGUCAGCCCUGGUCACACUGGAAAAGACCAGCUCAUGAAUCUUACUUCAGCUGCAAAUGACAAGAGGACAGUGUACAGAGCUGGAAGACAGACACUGUCCUUGAAGUCAAAAUGACAUAACACAGAGCCUGAGGCCCUGGCCCAUCCCUACUUAAGGUUAUGUGCUUGGCACCUCUUUCUCCCUAUUUUCAGACACAAACUUAGGGAAAGAGCAUUUGUAUGACUAUUUUAUGACACUUAAUGGACUAUGUAAAUUUGACUAAUAUUGAUACCAGAUGGUUCAUUUAUUCUUAUGAUUGUUUGACUUUUUUUUUUUUUUUUUAAGAUGGAGAAUGGUGUAAGGGCCUUAAUGUCAAGGAGUAUGUUUCAUUCAUUUUUGUGUCUCUCCUAGUAACUGACUAAUGAUGUUACAUGUAAAGGAAGGU